rnacentral:lncRNA from 1 species
AGCUUCCUCCAGGCAGUUGAGGGCCUUAAGAGAAAAGGGUGAUGUCUACCAGAGGAAGAGGGAAAUCUGCCUUCAACCUGAGUUCACAUUCAAGUUGCAAGAUCAGCUCUUCCCUGGGUCUCCAGCCUGCUCAGCAGAUUUUGAUUUUGCUAGCCCCUACAAUCAUGCAAAUGAAUGUGAACAUUCACAUUUUCUUUCCCCUGACGUAGAGAAAUCUUCAUGAGGAUGGAGAACAUAGGAGUUAAGCCACUUUCAGAGGUGGGAAUGGAAAUUUUCAGAUUUGAUGAUGUUCCAGGUAGAGAAAUAACACCAUUGAUUCAAGAAAGAAAAAUGGGCCUAAAAGACGGAGUUUCACUCUUGUUGCCCAGGCUGGAG